UCGGACAUAUCACGUUGAAACACCGGUUCUCGUACGAUUACCGAAAUUAAGCAACGUCGAACCUAGUGAGUACCUAGAUGGAUGACUGCGUGGGAAUGU